rnacentral:tRNA from 1 species
GCCAUCAUAGCUCAGUGGCAGAGCACUGGUCUGAAAAACCAGGUGUCGUGAGUUCGAUUCUCACUGGUGGCU